GGAGAGAUGGCUGAGUUGGUUGAAAGCGCACGAUUGGAAGUCGUGUAAGCGGGCUUAAACCCGCUUCAAGAGUUCGAAUCUCUUUCUCUCCGCCA
rnacentral:tRNA from 1 species